UACGUAGGUGGCAAGCGUUGUCCGGAAUUAUUGGGCGUAAAGCGCGCGCAGGCGGUCCUUUAAGUCUGAUGUGAAAGCCCACGGCUCAACCGUGGAGGGUCAUUGGAAACUGGGGGACUUGAGUGCAGAAGAGGAGAGUGGAAUUCCACGUGUAGCGGUGAGAUGCGUAGAGAUGUGGAGGAACACCAGUGGCGAAGGCGACUCUCUGGUCUGUAACUGACGCUGAGGCGCGAAAGCGUGGGGAGCAAACAGG
rnacentral:rRNA from 1 species